rnacentral:rRNA from 1 species
GUGGGGAAUAUUGGACAAUGGGCGAAAGCCUGAUCCAGCCAUGCCGCGUGUGUGAAGAAGGUCUUCGGAUUGUAAAGCACUUUAAGUUGGGAGGAAGGGCAGUAAGUUAAUACCUUGCUGUUUUGACGUUACCGACAGAAUAAGCACCGGCUAACUUCGUGUCAGCAGCCGCGGUAAUACGAAGGGUGCAAGCGUUAAUCGGAAUUACUGGGCGUAAAGCGCGCGUAGGUGGUUUUGUAAGUUGGAGGUGAAAUCCCCGGGCUCAACCUGGGAACUGCCUCCAAAACUGCAUGACUAGAGUACGGUAGAGGGUAGUGGAAUUUCCUGUGUAGCGGUGAAAUGCGUAGAUAUAGGAAGGAACACCAGUGGCGAAGGCGACUACCUGGACUGAUACUGACACUGAGGUGCGAAAGCGUGGGGAGCAAACAGGAUUAGAAACCCCAGUAGUCC